GAGGGUGUAGCUCAGUGGUAGAGUGCGUGCUUGGCAUGCACAAGGCCCUGGGUUCAAUCCCCAAUAUUUCCA
rnacentral:tRNA from 1 species